CGACCCCAGGUCAGGCGGGACUACCCGCUGAGUUUAAGCAUAUCAAUAA
rnacentral:rRNA from 2 species